CAGCCGCCGCGGGAAAACGGAGGAUCCGAGCGUUAUCCGGAAUUAUUGGGUUUAAAGGGUGCGUAGGCGGAUAGAUAAGUCAGUGGUGAAAGACGGUGGCUCAACCAUCGCAGUGCCGUUGAUACUGUUUAUCUUGAAUAUGGAUGAGGUAGGCGGAAUGUGGCAAGUAGCGGUGAAAUGCACAGAUAUGCCACAGAACACCGAUUGCGAAGGCAGCUUACCAAGGCAAAAUUGACGCUGAGGCACGAAAGCGUGGGGAUCGAACAGGAUUAGAUACCCCUGUAGUCCCUGUCUCUUAUAU
rnacentral:rRNA from 1 species